AUUGAACGCUGGCGGCAGGCCUAACACAUGCAAGUCGAGCGGGGUUUUCGGACCUAGCGGCGGACGGGUGAGUAAUGCGUAGGAAGCUGCCCGAUAGAGGGGGAUACCAGUUGGAAACGACUGUUAAUACCGCAUAAUGUCUACGGACCAAAGUGUGGGACCUUCGGGCCACAUGCUAUCGGAUGCGCCUACGUGGGAUUAGCUAGUUGGUGAGGUAAUGGCUCACCAAGGCGACGAUCUCUAGCUGGUUUGAGAGGAUGAUCAGCCACACUGGAACUGAGACACGGUCCAGGCUCCUACGGGAUGCAGCAGUGGGGAAUAUUGGACAAUGGGCGCAAGCCUGAUCCAGCCAUGCCGCGUGUGUGAAGAAGGCCUUCGGGUUGUAAAGCACUUUCAGCGAGGAGGAAGGGUGGUGUGUUAAUAGCACAUCAUUUUGACGUUACUCGCAGAAGAAGAACCGGCUAACUCUGUGCCAGCCGCCGCAGUAACAC
rnacentral:rRNA from 1 species